UCUAUUGCCAACUGAUUGUGAUGUGCCA
rnacentral:piRNA from 1 species